rnacentral:lncRNA from 1 species
UUUCUCUUUCUUGUUUUUUUUUUAUCCUUCUUUGGCUUAGCUUGAUGACGACAUAUUACCAAUUGGUGGAGGUGAUCUUGGGACAUUACUACUCCUUUCUCGUCGGAGAUAGGGAUUUGGGUCCCCCAAGCGCCAAUUCCUCCGAGUUAAGGACGCACAGGUUGAGCCGUUGCUAAAAGUUAAGACUGAGUUCGAUGAGUUUGGGCAAUUGAAUUACGAGUUUGGGUAAUUAACUGAAUCGUGAGAGUUUGGGAUGCAAAUGUUGGUGUUGUUAAACAAGGACGUCGUCCAACAAGUGUUUACAGACUCUGCAUCUGUUUUAAGCCUUAAUUGGUGAUGGUGGUAUGAUGUACAUGGAGGAUUGUGAUGGUGAAUGGUGGAGAUUGAUGGGUAUACAAGAAAUCUAUAUGUUGAUGUGAAUCCAAGUUCAAAGCUUAAAGAGAUCCAAGAUCCAUUAAUAGUACAAGAAGGCUCAAUCACAAGGUCUAAAUCCAAGAAGCUUCAACAAGCCAUAUUGGGUUUAAUUAAGGACAUUUGGAAAGCCCAAGAACUUCAACCCAAUAAAGCAUCCAUGGAGGCCCAAGGAAUAAUAUUUAACUUAUUUUUAUGUUAAUAAAAAUUAGGGUUACAUGUAGCCACCAUACAAGUUAAUGUGGUAAUUAAUACCAAGUAAUGACUAUCAAUGUGGGUAGUGGUUAUUAAGAGCCACCAUAUACAAGUUAAUGAGGUAAUUAAUACCAAGUAAUGGCUAUUAGUGUAGAUAGUGGUUACUAAGGCCAUUUAAGAGUAAAAGUAAUCCUAUGUGUGUGAGUCUAUUUUAGUAGUGUGUGUAUGGACUUGUACUCUAUAUAAACAAGUCCUUUUCUCUUUCUUUGGAAGCAUGAUUGAAUUUGAUAUAUGAAAUUUU